AUGGGAGAAAUAAUUGAACCAAAGGCCAAGGGGGGACUUGGCUUUCGUGACUUCCGCAUCUUCAACCAGGCCUUGCUUGCUCGUCAAGCCUGGCGGCUACUCACCAGACCGGAUUCCUUAUGCUCUCAGGUAUUGAAAGCAAAAUAUUAUCCUAACGGGUCCCUUGAGGAUACGGUUUUUUCAGGUAAUGCGUCCCCAACAUGGCACGCGAUCCAGCAUGGCCUCGAGUUGCUUAAGCAGGGGCUUGUGUGGCGAGUGGGCAACGGUGCGAGUAUCCGCAUAUGGCGGGACCCCUGGAUCCCGCGGCCCACGUCUUAUAGGCCAAUCACGGCGCGUGGCACAUGCCGGCUCCGGCGAGUGUCAGAACUCCUUGACGACAACGGCCGAUGGCGGGUAGGUCUCCUUCAACAAUUCUUCACCAUCCCGGAUGUGGAAUGCAUCUUGUCGAUCAAAACCAGCCCGCAAGGACUGGAUGACGUCCUAGCUUGGGCCCCUGACACCCGCGGCAUCUUCACUAUACGCAGCGUGUACAACCUUGCCCUGGAAGGGCGAACCAGCACCACCGUGUGCUCCACGAGGAGGGCACCGGACGACACUCGUGCCGUCUGGAAGGCAGUGUGGGGGUGCCCUGCUCCCCCGAAGGUACGAGUAUUUGCAUGGCGUGUUGCAACGAACUCGCUGGCCACUCUUGAAAAUAAGCUUAAGCGAAAGCUCGAGGUCUCUAAUAUUUGUGUUUUUUGUGGAAUGGAGCGGGAGGACACAUUCCAUGCCUUAUGCAGGUGUCCCUUGGCGCGGCGAUUAUGGAUGGCGAUGGCGAGCACAUGGAGCAUGCCAAAGGUGGAUUCCAUCGCCAACAUAGGCCCAGAAUGGAUUAUUCAUCUGCUGGAUGGGUGUAGCGAUGUUGAACGCUUACCAAUUAUAAUGACCCUAUGGCGGAACUGGUAA
rnacentral:rRNA from 1 species